UACGUAGGGUGCGAGCGUUGUCCGGAAUUAUUGGGCGUAAAGGGCUCGUAGGCGGUUUGUCGCGUCGGGAGUGAAAUCCACUGGCUUAACUGGUGGCUUGCUUUCGAUACGGGCAGACUGGAGGUAUGCAGGGGGAGAACGGAAAUUCCUGGGUGUAGCGGUGAAAUGCGCAGAUAUCAGGAGGAACACCGGUGGCGAAGGCGGGUCUCUGGGCAGUAACUGACGCUGAGGAGCGAAAGCGUGGGGAGCGAACAGG
rnacentral:rRNA from 1 species